UCACUGCCCUGCGACCUGGAGGGUUGGUGGUUGUUUUUUAAGUCACCUCUGGGUUCUGCUUCCCCGGCCCCAGAAGCAUCGUCUCCAUGAGAGGCCACAGCAAGAGAAAGGCGGCUGAAAUUUUUUACAGACUGAGAAGACAUUUUCGCCCUGGCCUGUUUCCAGUGCCCACUUCCUCCCAAAGCAAUGGUGUCCAAGAAUUCUCAGUGCGGCAGCCACAAGGAACCAGGUUUGCUGGGCUUGUAGGUGGAGAAGGGGAGGCACCUCUUCCCCAACAGCCCCUCUGAGCUCCCUGCCCCUCUGUGGGCCCAGCAAGCCGACUCACCGCACACACAGCUGCAUCUGGGGGCCAGGCCCGCCUUCACCAGGCUGCAGAGAGGCUCAGACAGGGUCCCAGACGCCCAGGGCAACACUUGCAGAAGCUGGAGGCACGGAGGAGAAUGCAGUACCAGAACCACGGCUCCGUCUACCCCAGCUCAUGGCCUGGGAAGUCAGCUGGGCACCGCGCGUUCCCUGAUCCAAUCUCACCUCAGACUCCGCAGACAGCAGCCCACGCUGGGAGGACAUCUCUCCGAUACAGUUCACACUGAGGCAGAGACGGGCCUGAAGUCAGGAGGCUGCACCAGGGCUGGGGAAGCUGCUCACGCCAUGUGGGUGUGGAGGAGCAGGAGGGGAGCCUUGGACAUUACUCACAGACACUGUAAGCAAACUGAAUUGGAACAACCAGGCACUCAGCGACACCUGGGAGAGCCAGCCCCUGCCAGAGAAGACGGACGGAGACCGUGGUAGGCUGGGCAGCAGCCAGUUCAGUCCGGCGUGAGCGGGAGCAGAAUUCUCCAAGCGGACUGGCAGCGGACCACCUGCAACUUGUCAGCAAUGUGGAGCCUCAGGGCCCGCCCCAGCCUCCUGAAUCAGAAGCCCAGGAGGCGGCCCCCCGGGGGUCUGAACUCA
rnacentral:lncRNA from 10 species